rnacentral:lncRNA from 1 species
UGGGACAGUGCGCAGGACGAAAGCCAUCUGGUAGCUUUGCUUGCAAGACCAGAUUAAGAAAGCACCAGCACAAAAACCACAAAGGAGAAGAUGAAGCUGUAUUUCCGGAGGAAAGCAAAGAUUUCUACCCAAAGCUGAGAGCCACAGAAUGUCAAAAGUGCUGAGAGAAGAAGUUGAGCCUUCUAUAAAUGUCAAAGCAAACAGAACCAGGCUCAGAGAAAGCAAGCACCUUCUGGGCACACAUAGCUUCUGAAGAGGCCAGGUGUACAGCUGACUUGGGAUUGAGGGGUUCUCCACGUAGUGAGGAGUUUUGUUACAGAAAGAACGCAGACCGCUACCAUAUCUGCUGAAGUGCAGGUCUGCUGGUGUCACUAGAGAGGAAGGAGACCGCAAGAAGACAGCGGCCGGGGGGAUCUAGGAGAUGGAAAGGGUCCUGAAAAAUUCUAAUCUGGAUAAUCUCUGGAUACUGGACAAUGAAGCCCAGGUGUGCUCUAAAAAAAUGGAGCAAAAUUUGGUCCAACUCAUGCCAAUUGUGUUCAACAGUUUAUAGGAUAAGUAGAUCCUUUCAGGCUGUCAUAGUUCAAGCUCUUGGAAUGACCAGUAAUAUAUACUUAAACAUAUGACAAAACUUAAGGGAAAAGAGGGCCCAAGGCAUGCAGGGGAACUGAGCAUAAAGGCCAUUGUAUUUCAUGUAUGACUUGACUGUGUUUCAGUAAAGCAAUUUUAGCUCUAAAC